rnacentral:rRNA from 1 species
GAUGAACGCUGGCGGCGUGCCUAAUACAUGCAAGUCGAGCGAACAGACGAGGAGCUUGCUCCUCUGACGUUAGCGGCGGACGGGUGAGUAACACGUGGAUAACCUACCUAUAAGACUGGGAUAACUUCGGGAAACCGGAGCUAAUACCGGAUAAUAUAUUGAACCGCAUGGUUCAAUAGUGAAAGACGGUUUUGCUGUCACUUAUAGAUGGAUCCGCGCCGCAUUAGCUAGUUGGUAGGGUAACGGCUUACCAAGGCGACGAUGCGUAGCCGACCUGAGAGGGUGAUCGGCCACACUGGAACUGAGACACGGUCCAGACUCCUACGGGAGGCAGCAGUAGGGAAUCUUCCGCAAUGGGCGAAAGCCUGACGGAGCAACGCCGCGUGAGUGAUGAAGGUCUUCGGAUUGUAAAACUCUGUUAUUAGGGAAGAACAAAUGUGUAAGUAACUAUGCACGUCUUGACGGUACCUAAUCAGAAAGCCACGGCUAACUACGUG